rnacentral:tRNA from 1 species
UGGCUCAGAAGUUAAGAGCACUUGACUGUUCUUCCAGAGGUCCUGAGUUCAAUUCUCAG